AUUGAUUAUAAUAGAUAAAAGUAUGAUAUAUUUUUUUUAUUUUUCAUUUUAUAUACGAUAAUUGAAUAUAUUAAUAUGUAAUAAUAUUUCAAAACUAAUUCCGAAAUUAGAUAAAAUAUUUACAUAUAAUGUUUAAAAAUUAAGAUCUUGGUAAAAUCCUUUCAAACAGAUUCGUUGAAUUUUUAAUAUAUAUUUUAUAUUAAAAAUAAAAAAAAUAUCACAAUAUAUUAUAAUUAAAUUAGUUUAAAUAUUUUAUGUGUUAUUAGUUUUAAUAAAAUACAUUUAAUAAAAUUUCUAAAAAUUAUUUCAAAUUAAAAAAUCGUACAUGAAAAAAGUCAUGAUUUCUAUUUUAAUAGAAUAGAGAUAUCUUAUUAUUUGUAAUUUUUUUACCUAUUAGUUUUUUGGUUUACCAAUACCUUGUUUGUUUAUCAGAUUCUAAGAGGUUCGUCUAUCUUAACAAAUUCUACGGUGUUUAAAAAUUGGGAGCAUAGAAAUCAGUCACUGCACUAUUCUUUACUCUAUUUAUGCUUAUUAAUGAUUCUUUGUUGCUGUUAAACAGCUUGCGCGACAGUUUCAAACUAAUCAAGCAGAUGGCUGGCGUUAGGCCCUUAGCGGAGGAGGAUAAGGAAGUUAUCUCAUUAUAUGGCAAACCAAUUACCUUUUACGGCAUUCUUCAAGCUUUUACACAAGACAAGCCACGUUUCCUUCCAAGGUGUUUGAGUUACAAAAUACAGGCGAGGAAAAAUAAGAUGGCAAAUCUAAGUGGAAUAACAAUUUUCAACUACAUGAAUUGUAACAACAUAAUACUCAGAUCCCAAGGUG